rnacentral:lncRNA from 10 species
CCUAUAGCUAUGUUUGUGCCACUACCACCUCCUGCCUCAAAGAAACUCUUGCCAGGGUGAUUUACCAAGGAUAAAGAUGUCUAAUUUAAGUUGGACCAACCCAAUUCUCUUUCUUGGAAAUUUGAAACUAGAAGAGAGCCACAUGGAGAAUGAAGGUCUUAUUUCAACUGUUGUUCAGGAAUGAUCCAAACAAAUUCAGAAGCAGAUUUAAAUGUUAUAGGAUGGGCUGCUGUUGACCUCGCUGCUGACCUUGCUGCUGACCUCACUGCUGACCUUGCUGCUGACUUCACCGUUUCUCCCAAUAUAUGUCAGCUGAGUGGACUUUUGGCUGCCGGACAUGAAGAAAUCAUAUAAUCAAUUAAGCAAUCAAUCAACAAAUAUAUAGUGGACUUCUGCAAUUUGCAAGGCUCUGUGGCAAAUUGUACAAGGGGAAAAGUGUUUGUGGCCCACAGAAAUCAUGCUGCAGCCCUGGGUGAUAUGCUGAGACAUCUGGGGGAGGAAAUGACUAGGCAUAAGUAAAACAGGGAACUACUAAAAUCCUUAUGCAUGCAGGCUUUGACUAAGUUUGUGACCAUGACAGUGUAAAAUGAAAGCCAAAAGCACUGCAAAUAAAAAGCGUAGAAAAGUUAACUGCCUCUGUAUGUAUGGGCGUUUGGUGGAAUGUGAGAUUAUGAGUUACAUCUGGGGACACAAAAUGUAAAUUUGAUUCAAGAUAGUGGGCAACUAUAUGCAUUUACUUUCUUUGCAUUUCAAUGAGGCAGGCAGUUAGCAAAUGGGCAUGAUUAUUUGCAGGCGGCUAAAAGCAAUACAAGUGGGCCUAGACAGGUUAGCAUAAGGACCCAUCUCCCCAGUAGGAAGAAACUGUUACAACAGACUAUAACAAUGAAGAGAUUGCAGACAUCCUGCUUUAGGCACAGAUAAGAAUAUAACAGGCCGGGCGCGGUGGCUCACGCCUGCAAUCCCAGCACUUUGAGAGGCCGAGGCGGGCGGAUCACGAG